CCUACGGGCGGCAGCAGUAGGGAAUAUUGCUCAAUGGGGGAAACCCUGAAGCAGCAACGCCGCGUGGAGGAUGAAGGUUUUCGGAUUUUAAACUCCUUUUGUUAGAGAAGAUAAUGACGGUAUCUAACGAAUAAGCAACGGCUAACUCCGUGCCAGCAGCCGCGGUAAUACGAAGGGUGCAAGCGUUACUCAGAAUCACUGGGCGUAAAGAGCGCGUGGGCGGGAUAGCAAAUCAGAUGUGAAAUCCUAUGGCUUAACCAUAGAACUGCAUUUGAAGCUGUUAUUAUAGAGUAUGGGAGAGGUAUGUGGAAUUCUUGGUGUAGGGGUAAAGUCCGUAGAGAUCAAGAGGAAUACUCAUUGCGAAGGCGACCUGCUAGAACAUAACUGACGCUGAUGCGCGAAAGCGUGGGGAGCAAACAGGAUUAGAUACCCGGGUAGUC
rnacentral:rRNA from 1 species